rnacentral:rRNA from 1 species
UUCAUGGAGAGUUUGAUCCUGGCUCAGGACGAACGCUGGCGGCGUGCCUAAUACAUGCAAGUCGAGCGGACCGACGGGAGCUUGCUCCCUUAGGUCAGCGGCGGACGGGUGAGUAACACGUGGGUAACCUGCCUGUAAGACUGGGAUAACUCCGGGAAACCGGGGCUAAUACCGGAUGCUUGAUUGAACCGCAUGGUUCAAUUAUAAAAGGUGGCUUUUAGCUACCACUUACAGAUGGACCCGCGGCGCAUUAGCUAGUUGGUGAGGUAACGGCUCACCAAGGCRACGAUGCGUAGCCGACCUGAGAGGGUGAUCGGCCACACUGGGACUGAGACACGGCCCAGACUCCUACGGGAGGCAGCAGUAGGGAAUCUUCCGCAAUGGACGAAAGUCUGACGGAGCAACGCCGCGUGAGUGAUGAAGGUUUUCGGAUC